UGCAUCGGCCGGGAAUCGAACCCUGGUCGCCCGCGUGGCAGGCGAGCAUUCUACCACUGAACCACUGAUGC
rnacentral:tRNA from 1 species